AGCAAAGAAUAGGGAGACCACUGAGGAGGGUGAUCAUUGUUCGAGUGAGACGAGUCCCGGGUUGUACGGAGUCAGCAUCCCUGUCCUGGACACGGCACGUGUAGAGCUGCGUGGUGGGUGAGGUGGCGCGGCCGCGUA